UACGGGGGGGGCAAGCGUUGUUCGGAUUCAUUGGGCGUAAAGGGUGUGUAGGUGGCGCCGUAAGUCGGGUGUGAAAUUUCGGAGCUUAACUCCGAAACUGCAUUCGAUACUGCGGUGCUUGAGGACUGGAGAGGAGACUGGAAUUCAUGGUGUAGCAGUGAAAUGCGUAGAGAUCAUGAGGAAGACCAGUGGCGAAGGCGGGUCUCUGGACAGUUCCUGACACUGAGACACGAAGGCCAGGGGAGCAAACGGGAUUAGAAC
rnacentral:rRNA from 1 species